GUGUUUGUUUCCACAAUGCAUAUAGUAUAAUCAGAAUGAUACAGAGAGGAUUGGCACCUCCUGGCACAAGGUGAUGCACAAACUGGCAAAGUACUCUGUAUUUUU
ensembl:snRNA U6 U6 spliceosomal RNA